rnacentral:misc_RNA from 1 species
AAAUUAUCAAAGCAAGUCUUUUGUUCAUUCGAUCGACUUUGUUUUGGACUUGGAGGUCUGCAGAUUCACGUUUGCUCCUCUUAAAUGCAUUAGCUGGAUCUCAGUGAGCUCGGUUCCACUCGGCGUGAUAAGUAUCACUCGCUGAGGACACCCGUAAAAAAGGUGGCCGGGGAUCGCAGAUGAACCGCUUCCAAUAGUCCAUUUGCUUGGACAAUACACUUUAUG